rnacentral:sRNA from 1 species
AUUGUUAACAAAUAUGUUUAUGCUAAUUUUAAGGGAUUGAUUUGAAGUUUGGUGGGAUUAAAUUUGAUUGAUAAUGUGAUUGACAAUUUAAAUCAAAAAUUUAAAGUAAAAUUAAUUAUUUUGAAAAAAAGAUUUAAUGCUAAUGGCAUUAGAUUGUAAAUAAGUCCAAGUCCAGGAUUUAUUUGCUAAAAUGGCUGCAAAAAUGUAUAUAUAGAUAUAUAUAUUUUGAUUUAAGAGAUUCUGGGGCGAAUCUUGUAAUUUUAGUUUCAUCUCAAACGUCACUAGAACCGGCGAUCUCUAGGCGAAUAGGGUCUUUACCAAUUGAGCUAACGACACUUGGUCUUGAGUUCAAUAUUACGUAAACUUUACCGAAAAUUUUAUUUUGGAGAAAUCUGAGUCUACGCAUAUGACGAAUGCUAAUGUUUAAAGAGAGAUUUCGUGCAUAUUUGUCCAAAGAUAGAUGCAACUUGAUCACAAAUACGUGUUGAUUUUCAUUCUA